ACCAGACUGAUACUCACUGAGGAGUCAGCAAGGAAAGAAGAGCGGGAAGAGGUGAAGGACAUGUCAGAGGUGGUACAGGCUAAAUCACAGGAUUUAACUGUGUGGAAAUAGAGCACAGGUGGACAGCAUGCUCCUCGGUGGCUUC